GACGAACGCUGGCGGCGUGCCUAAUACAUGCAAGUAGAACGCUGAAGAGAGGAGCUUACUCUUCUUGGAUGAGUUGCGAACGGGUGAGUAACGCGUAGGUAACCUGCCUUGUAGCGGGGGAUAACUAUUGGAAACGAUAGCUAAUACCGCAUAACAAUGGAUGACACAUGUCAUUUAUUUGAAAGGGGCAAUUGCUCCACUACAAGAUGGACCUGCGUUGUAUUAGCUAGUAGGUGAGGUAAUGGCUCACCUAGGCGACGAUACAUAGCCGACCUGAGAGGGUGAUCGGCCACACUGGGACUGAGACACGGCCCAGACUCCUACGGGAGGCAGCAGUAGGGAAUCUUCGGCAAUGGGGGCAAGCCUGACCGAGCAACGCCGCGUGAGUGAAGAAGGGUUUCGGACCGUAAAGCUCUGUUGUAAGUCAAGAACGGGUGUGAGAGUGGAAAGUUCACAAUGUGACGGUAGCUUACCAGAAAGGGACGGCUAACUACGUG
rnacentral:rRNA from 1 species